GCAGUUGAUCUGCGAAGCCGUAGGGAAACCGACAAGUCCGCAGCCCGUAAGGGUGAGGGACGAGAUGUGCUCGUCUGAAGUCAAUGGUGGAGGACCUGAAGCCUAUCGAUCUAUGCCUGGCCAGAUUGAAGCCCGAUGAAAGUUGGGUGGAGGAUCGAACCGUUGCUGAUGUGCAAAUCGCUCGGACGAGUUGGGUAUAGGGGUGAAAGUCCAAUCGAGAUGGGCAAUAGCAGGUUCCGCGCGAGACUACUCGUAGGUAGACCUCUGUGGAGAUAGAUCGUGCUGUAGAGCACUGAUUGGGUAUUUAGGGGGAGCGAUCCCUCGGCACGCUGCCAAACUCCGAAGGUACAAUCGUUGAAGAAGCAGGGAGUGAGCCACGGUGGGUAAGCUACCGUGACGAAAGGAGAACAGUCCAGCCUAGCGUUAAGGUCCCAAAGUACUAACUAAGUGUCAAAGACAAACCGUGUCCGUGGUCGAAAACAACCAGAAGGUGGGCUUAGAAGCAGCCAUCCUUGAAAGAGUUCGUAACAGAUCACUGGUCAAGCUUGCGGGCCGGGAAAAGGGACGGGGCUAAAGUUAGUCACCGAUACGCUAGACCAGCGAAAGCUGAUGUGGUAGCGCGGCGACAUGUUCGGGUAGAAGGUAGGCCUUGAGGUCUACUGGACCGUAUAUGUAUGAGAAUCUAGGGAAAAGUAGCAGCAAAGAGUGGUGAGAAUCCGCUCCACCGGAGGGGCCAGGGUUCCUCGGCAAUGUUCAUCAGCCGAGGGUUAGCCGGUCCUAAGGUCAUUCUUAACCGAAAUGAUCGAAUAGGGAAAUGCGUUAAUAUUCGUAUGCCUCUGUGCAAUUAUGGUGACAGCUUGGGCUAGUCUUACAGGUCAUAUGUCAGGCCUGAAGAUUGUAUAAGGAAUUGGAGAACCGUCAUGGUGAGAAGAUUCCGAAAUCAAUUGACAAUAUAAGAUGACGCCUAGGCUCCGUGAAAAGCCGCACAGAAGACCGUACCUAGAACUGACACAGGUGCCCCUGGGUGAGUAGCCUAAGGUGUGACGGGAAAAGUACCGCAAGGGAACUCGGCAAAAUAGCUCCGUAACUUCGGGAGAAGGAGUGCCAGCUUAGAGAUAAGCUGGUCGCAGUGACCAGGGGUCUCCGACUGUUUAAUAAAAACAUAGGCGACUGCCAGUCCGAAAGGAUGAGUAUAGUCGCUGAAUCCUGCUCAGUGCCGGUAUCUGAAAUCGGGGUUCAACCUGACGAAGGACCGGUAAACAGCGGGGGUAACUAUGACCCUCUUAAGGUAGCGUAAUACCUUGUCGCUUAAUUGGCGACUUGCAUGAAUGGCGCGGUACGUCCGGCGAAAUUGACUAUUACUGGCGCACAGUCCAGUAACCUCAACCUGCAAGCGAAGACCCCGUAGAGCUUUACUGCAGCCUGGCGUUGUACAUUCGCACACUUUGUGCUGAGUAGACGGGAGAUGUUGAUCCUCGGGACGUUAGUCCCGGGAGUAGUCGUCCAUAGAGACACCGUCCUUAAUGUGUGACUGUACUAACUCUUCAUGAGAACACCGCUUGGUGGGCAGUUUGGGUGGGGCGCCACGCGCCCGAAAACCUAACAGGCGUGCCCAAAGGUCAGCUUAGGUGGUUCAGUCUCCACCGUAAACCGUAAGGGGAAAAGCUGGCUUGACGUGGAUCGGAUCAAUAACGAUCGACGAUGCGAAAGCAGGGCCUAACGAACCAAUGUGCCUCAUUUCUGGGGGCCAUUGAUAACAGAAAAGUUACCUCGGGGAUAAUUGAGUUGUCACCAGCAAGAGCACAUAUCGACCUGGUGGCUUGCUACUUCGAUGUCGUCUCUUCCCAACCUCCCGGUGCAGCAGCUGGGAAGGGUGGGGUUGUUCGCCCAUUAAAGGGGAUCGUGAGAUGGGUUUAGACCGUCGUGAGACAGGUUUGUUGCUUUGUGGUUGAGGCGUAUCAGGUGCCUGAUCGGAAGGGCCCUUUAGUACGAGAGGAACGAGGGCUCGGAGCCACUAGUUUACCAGUUGUCCGGCAGGGCAAUGCUGGGUAGCCACGCUCUACGCGGAUAAGAGCUGAAAGCAUCUAAGCUCGAAGUCGCCCGAAAGACGAGGCACCUCAGGGGACUCGUAGAAGACGAGUUUGAUAGACAGCGGGUGUAAGUACCGAGGUUCGCCGAGGUAUUCAGCCCAGCUGCACUAACCCCCCGAGCAUCCAAUU
rnacentral:rRNA from 1 species